UACGAAGGGGGCUAGCGUUGCUCGGAAUUACUGGGCGUAAAGGGCGCGUAGGCGGCCGAUCAAGUCAGGCGUGAAAUUCCCGGGCUCAACCUGGGGGCUGCGCUUGAGACUGGUUGGCUAGAGGCCGAGAGAGGGUGGUGGAAUUCCCAGUGUAGAGGUGAAAUUCGUAGAUAUUGGGAAGAACACCAGUGGCGAAGGCGGCUAUCUGGACGGUUUCUGACGCUAAGACGCGAAAGCGUGGGGAGCAAACAGG
rnacentral:rRNA from 1 species